GUUCCACGGAUAUACUUUUUAUGGGGUUAUUGCAUGUUUUGGGGCCCCUGUGAUGUGUUUUAUGAAACUGUAUUUCUCUGUCUGUGAUAAUUAGAUUACACAUUGUGUAAGGUAAUUGUAUCACAGGCAGAGGGGAGGAUUUUGUGUGGGAGUGUCUGUGUGUAUUGUACGGAUUGAUUGGCUGUGUUUCAAAACCCUGUGGGCAGUACUAUAUUUGUGGAUUGUGAAUAAAAGAGGCUGUAAGUGCCAGUCCAGUCAGUUCUGCUUGACCUCAAAACGAAGUGUCGUCUCGUUAUUGGGGGAAUUGGAUUGUAUGCUGAUUGCCAGGAG